UAAAAGAAGUCAUCCAUGGCAGAUCCGGACGUUUAACUACUACGCAUGGUCAAGCGAUGAGGUCGAAUUGUUACCUUUGACUUAAAUGUUGAUAUGGUUGAUUGUCCAACUUCUUUUGAAUUUUUUUUUCGGCGCGCUGUCAUUGGCGCGUUUCGAUCUUCAUACCAAUGUUGUUCUCCCAUAGGUCUGAUUUUUCGUUGAACGUUUGUUGUACUUUUUAAUAAGUUUUAUUUUCUUUAAGAGAACGUAAUAAAACUUCCCCCGCGGUUUUCCUUUCGAGCUGCGGUUUGGACAGUUUUUGGUUUCUUUCAUCUUAAGAAUAUAUUUUACGUAACGUUAUUGAUUUGAAGCAAAAUUUUCGUUGGCGUGUCUCUUUAAACCUAACCGGUGCCUCCCUUUCGCGUAGCUGAUGAAAUACCCGCGUGCAUUAAGAACUAAAUUAAUUUACAUUGCAAAUUUUCCGUUUUGCUCAUUUAGAAUGCAGUUUGAUUCAUCACAUCUUCAAGGAGUUUGAAAGUUGAGGUUCUUGCGAUGAGAAUUCGACGAACACAGCUCUUGAAUACCAAGGUUUCUCGUUGCCUGUCAUGAAGUACAUAGAAAUUCAUCCACGUGGAGUUUUGAAUCAUGUUCUUCGGAAGGAAAGUCGCGAACCGAUGGAAUUGGAGGCAACCUUGGUGAACAUGAUCAUGGUAUGAAGCGGAGACGAAAGUCAAAUGGCUUGUUUCUGUUCAUGGCAGAUGGUGGACGUGAACAGACUGGACGCGACAUAACGUAUUCUUAACAAGGUUUCUUAAUGGUGGAAAGCUGAACUUCAAAUCAAGCACAAGUUCGUGUGGAUGAAUAUUUUACAGCUCCAAGACAAGUUCAAAGCAGAGGUAGAAAAGAGAUCUUACAAGAGCUCAACUUGAAGUCGAAGAAAACCCUCGCUAAAUUUGUUUCGUUCGCUUUGCCAAAACCUCGUUUCGAUUUUAGUACUAAUUUUGUUUCGUCGUUCCAUGUUAAUUUUCAACGGAAAUUUUUUUUUCUUAGUGACAUUUGUUCAAUAGAUUUUAUUUUUCCCGCCAAAAAACUUAG